CCUGUAAUGCCUUUUUUUUUAAAAUGUUAAAUUUUGUGGUUUCAGAUACUUCGCCAACCUAAGUUUAAUGCUUUCAGGCCUUUUAAACAUUUCCUCUUGCAUCCCCUUUUGCAUUAAAAUCGUUCAGCUGAAUGUAUGCCAUUUCUAAACUCUUCUGCAACUUCAAUCUCCUUUUCAAUAGACUUGCAUAUGAAACUAAUGUUUUUCCUCCAAAAAUCAACCGAUUUCUAAAUUGUGUCAACUCCUAAAACGGGCCCGGAGGGCGCAAAGUGGAUUUUCUAUCAAACUUUCAUAUGUUAAACUAAUUUGUCUGCUCUUAACCUCUUUAAAGACCAAAUCAAUACUUGAAGUCAUGCUAAACUAGUUGCUUGUAAUGUUACGGGGUUUAUUUGAGCAUUUAAUUGUCCUAUUUGCAUACCAC
rnacentral:lncRNA from 1 species